GCCCUGGCAUAUGUCAAGCUGUAAAAUCCUAAGUCACUCCAAGCUUUCCAGCUCUUGAAGGACACAGGGCCAGCCCGAACCGUGUACCCAUUGCAGCGCAGCCCACAGAAACGAGAUGAUGUUUUCUGGUUUUCCCAGUUCAGUUCUAAAUGAUGAACAUUUGUAGCUGCAGCCGCUGAGAUCUGAGGUUUCGAGGCAGCCGACAGGCAGGCUGUAAAAGCAUCAGUGUCACUGAAGGUUUCAGUGAAGCGUGAUGAUGACAGAGACUCGGCUGACCCGCGUGGGACCACUCCUUCCCACCCACCCACGGGCCAGGCCCUGGCCACGCUUGCAUCCUCC
ensembl:lncRNA